rfam:Ovis aries breed Texel chromosome 2, whole genome shotgun sequence.
UGGCUCAGAGGGUAAAGCGUCUGCCUGCAAGGCGGGAGACCCAGGUUCAAUCCCUGG